CAUGCAAGUCGUGCGAGAAAGUAUCUUCGGAUAUGAGUAGAGCGGCGGACGGGUGAGUAACGCGUAGGAAUCUACCUAGUAGAAGGGGAUAGCCCGGGGAAACCCGGAUUAAUACCGUAUACCUCCUUCGGGAGAAAGAAGGCCUCUCUUUGAAGCUUUCGCUACUAGAUGAGCCUGCGUAAGAUUAGCUUGUUGGUGAGGUAAAGGCUCACCAAGGCGACGAUCUUUAGCUGGUCUGAGAGGACGAUCAGCCACAUUGGGACUGAGACACGGCCCAGACUCCUACGGGAGGCAGCAGUGGGGAAUAUUGGACAAUGGGCGCAAGCCUGAUCCAGCCAUACCGCGUGUGUGAAGAAGGCCUUCGGGUUGUAAAGCACUUUAAGCAGGGAGAAAAAGUUAUAAGUUAAUACCUUGUAACCCUGAUGUUACCUGCAGAAUAAGCACCGGCUAAUUCCGUGCCAGCAGCCGCGGUAAUACGGAAGGUGCAAGCGUUAAUCGGAAUUACUGGGCGUAAAGCGCGCGUAGGUGGUUUGUUAAGUUGGAUGUGAAAGCCCUGGGCUCAACCUAGGAACUGCAUCCAAAACUAACUCACUAGAGUACGAUAGAGGGAGGUAGAAUUCAUAGUGUAGCGGUGGAAUGCGUAGAUAUUAUGAAGAAUACCAGUGGCGAAGGCGGCCUCCUGGAUCUGUACUGACACUGAGGUGCGAAAGCGUGGGUAGCGAACAGGAUUAGAUACCCUGGUAGUCCACGCCGUAAACGAUGACAACUAGCUGUUGGGAG
rnacentral:rRNA from 1 species